UUGCAAGACGUUCAGUCGCCUUUAGCUUGAAUGGUCACUCUUUAACAGUAGACUUUAAUCUUGAUGUGUUAGCUUAUUCAUCUUAAUCCAUUAGUUAUUCCUCCCAACUUAUUUUGUUCUUCUUUCCUCUCCGAGCAUCGUGUGUAUUCGAAUUAUCUUCUCAACACGUACUCCAAAUACUAUACGUGUCGGCAAGUAGUAUUGUUUCCCGUUUUUCUCCUAUUAUUCCCUCACGCUUGUACGCCCGCGCUACCACGGUAAGAUCAAAUUACUUUGUCUCGAAUAUCACGCUCAGUUUCCCUAUUGGACUCGCUUUCAUGUAUCCUUACUCGUUUUGUAAACCGUUGGCCUCAGCUUAGUAAUACAUAAUCAUCAUUGUGGGUAAAUACGCCUCUGAGUUUAUUUACACAACAAAUUGUCUUAAUUCGUAAAGCCAUUCACCCGAGAGGGAGAAUGCUUUACACAAGCUAGUCAAAAGCUACCACUAACAUGACACAGUUCCUUGAGCAAUACCGUGCAGGUCUUGAGAAAGUCCUGUACGAACCUGGCUUCAUCAAUAAUUUGCUAGCCAAAGCUGAAGAACGAACAGGAGUGAAAAGACUAUAUUUCCCUUGGUAUGAUCGGAGUCAUAUCAAUAUAUUUAACUUUUGGCUAUGGUGCCCAGUUACUGUGCAACUCCAUUGGUUUUGUAUACCCUGCAUAGGCCUCAGUGAAAGCCAUUGAAUCUGACAAAAAAGAUGAUGACACAAAAUGGCUUACUUAUUGAACUGUCUUUGCCUUUUUUAGCAUAAUUGAAUUCUUUUCUGAUAUUCUCUUGUCACUGGUUGGCAAAGUGUAUCCUGCUGGUCUGGUGCUUUGCUCCUGUUUCGUGGAACGGAUCCGCUUUAAUCUAUCAUAGGAUUAUCAGACCUCGGUAUUUAAAAUACAAUACGAAGUUGGACAAAGUUGUUGGUGAUGCUGCAAACAAUGCCGCUAAACUUCUUUCCCAAGGAUUGGAUAUAACACACAACUUGGUCAAGAAUGCAAAUAGCAAGGAUGAAG